GGAGGGUGCAAGCGUUAUCCGGAUUCACUGGGUUUAAAGGGUGCGUAGGUGGAUUAGUAAGUCAGUGGUGAAAUCUCCGGGCUUAACCCGGAAACUGCCAUUGAUACUAUUAGUCUUGAAUACCGUGGAGGUCAGCGGAAUAUGUCAUGUAGCGGUGAAAUGCUUAGAUAUGACAUAGAACACCAAUUGCGAAGGCAGCUGGCUACACGAGCAUUGACACUCAGGCACGAAAGCGUGGGGAUCAAACAGGAUUAGAUACCCUGGUAGUCCACGCCCUAAACUAUGGAUACUCGACAUACGCGAUACACUGUGUGUGUCUGAGCGAAAGCAUUAAGUAUCCCACCUGGGAAGUACGAUCGCAAGAUUG
rnacentral:rRNA from 1 species